ACACAUGCAAGUCGAGCGGGGGACGGAGAGCUGGCUCUCACCUGACGAGUGGCGGACGAGUGAUGAAUGUCUGGCAGACUGCCUGAGGGGGGGGGAUUCCUACAGGGAACGGUAGCUAAUACCGCGUCCCGUCGCAGAACCAAGGAGGGGGACCUUCCGUCCUCUUGCCAUCGAAUGUGCCCCGAUGGAAUUAGCUGGUGGGUGGGGUAACGGCUCACCUAACCAACUAUCCCUAGCUGGUCUGAAAGGUUGACCACCCACACUGGAACUGACACACGGUCCUCACUCCUACGGGAGGCAUGGGUGGGAAAUAUUGCACAAUGGGAACCAAGCCUGAUGCAUGCAUGCCGCGUGUAUGAAGAAGGCCUUCGGGUUGUAAAGUACUUUCAGCGGGGAGGAACGUGUUGUGGUUAAUAACCACAGCAAUUGACGUUACCCGAAUAAGAACCACCGGCUAACUGUGUGCCAGCCCCGCGGUAAUACGGAGUGGUGCAAGCUUUAAUCAUUUUUACUGCGUAAAAAGUGCACGCGCGCGUUAUGUCAACUCAUAUGUAAAAUCCCAGCUCUCAUUGUGAAAUCUGCUUUCUACACUGGAGCGAUAGAAUCUUGUAGAAUGGUAUAAAUCUCGAUGUGUAGCUGUGAUGUGUAUAGAUAUGUAGAGAAAUAGCGGUGGCAAGGGCCCCCCCUCUGCACAAAGACUGACU
rnacentral:rRNA from 1 species